rnacentral:rRNA from 1 species
UACGGAGGGUGCAAGCGUUAAUCGGAAUUACUGGGCGUAAAGCGUGCGCAGGCGGUUUGUUCAGUCCGCUGUGAAAUCCCCGAGCUCAACUUGGGAAUUGCAGUGGAUACUGGCAAGCUGGAGUAUGGUAGAGGAAGGUGGAAUUCCCGGUGUAGCAGUGAAAUGCGUAGAGAUCGGGAGGAACACCAGUGGCGAAGGCGGCCUUCUGGACCAAUACUGACGCUCAUGCACGAAAGCGUGGGGAGCAAACAGG